UACGUAGGGGGCUAGCGUUGUCCGGAAUCAUUGGGCGUAAAGAGCGUGUAGGCGGCCCGGUAAGUCCGCUGUAAAAGUCAAAGGCUCAACCUUUGAAUGUCAGUGGAUACUGUCGGGCUAGAGUCCGGAAGAGGCGAGUGGAAUUCCUGGUGUAGCGGUGGAAUGCGCAGAUAUCAGGAGGAACACCAAUAGCGAAGGCAGCUCGCUGGGACGGUACUGACGCUAAGGCGCGAAAGCGUGGGGAGCGAACAGG
rnacentral:rRNA from 1 species